rnacentral:rRNA from 1 species
GCUGAUAUUAUAAUUCUCAUACAUGGUUUAGUAGGGAUUAAAUUUAUAUAAAUAGUGAAUAGUUAUAGUUAUUUAAACUAAGUCUGGAAAAUUAUGUGCCAGCAUCAGCGGUCAUACAUAAGGGCUAAGCUUUUUUUUACUACAAUACUUAAAAUUGAGAUAAUUUACAACACAACAAGAAAUUAUUUAUGGUGAAAUAAAAUAAUUUUAAUAUUUUAAAAAUUGAACGUUAAUAAGCUACUAAAUAAACCAGGAUUUGAUACCCUGUUAUUGUAGCUUACAAAAAAUUGUAGAAAACUACCUUAUAAUUAGGGAAAUUUAAAAAUCAUGACAGUUAGAAUUUCUUAUCAGAUGAAUAUGUCUUUUAAUAUGAUACUCCCCAAAAAAUCUGACUUAAACUUGAAUAUUUUACACUCUUCCCACCGCCGUUUUGGGUAUAAUGAAUUUUUACUAGUAAUUGGACUAACUAUGUGUGUUAGACUAAAUUAAUCAGGUAAAGGUGAAGGUUAUGUUUAAGGUGAGAUGUAUUACAUUUUAGUUAAAAGUGGAAUAAUUAUUGAAAAUAGUUAUGAAAAUGAAUUUGAAAGUAAUAAAUUUUAAUAAUAAAUUUAUGAAUAUGAACUUUCUUUUGUACAGAUCGCCCGUCGCCCCCAAGCCAUUCUCGGGGUAAGUCGAAACACAGUAGAAGUACUGGAAAGUGUUUCUAUAUACUAGA